CCUACGGGUGGCAGCAGUGAGGAAUAUUGGUCAAUGGCCGAGAGGCUGAACCAGCCAAGUCGCGUGAGGGAAGACUGCCCUAUGGUUUUUAAACCUCUUUUGUCAGGGAGCAACGCCGGCUACGUGUAGCCGUACUGAGAGUACCUGACGACAAAGCAUCGGCUAACUACGUGCCAGCAGCCGCGGGAAUACGGAGGAUGCGAGCGUUAUCCGGAUUGAUUGGGUUUAAAGGUUGCGUAGGCGGAAUGUCAAGUCAGCGGUAAAAUCGCGGGGCUCAACCUCGCUCCGCCGUUGAAACUGGAGUUCUUGAGUGGGGGAGAAGUAUGCGGAAUGCGUGGUGUAGCGGUGAAAUGCAUAGAUA
rnacentral:rRNA from 1 species